rnacentral:lncRNA from 1 species
UAAAUUGCAAUCAACAAGUCAUAAUAAAUAAGGGGUAACCCAUUCAUUUACAAUCGCUUGGUGAUAAAGAUAAAUAAUCCACAUAAAUUAUCCAUGUAAGAGAUAAUAGAGAAGGCAAGAUAUUUCAUUUUACUUCAAUAAUAAUGAGGAUCUUAGCAAGGUGAGCUAUAUCCAUUGUGAUGAAAAACAAGUCAUCCAUAUAAAACAUUCAUGAGUGAUAAUUGAAGAAAGAAAAGCUAAUACACUAUAUAUUACCACAUAUAGCUAAAGGCAAGUCAGGCAAAAACAUCUUUGUGAUGACUUUGGGUUGGUAAGCUAUAUACUUUUAAUUUCAAAGAAGAUAAUAAAAUCUCAAAAAAAAAAAUAACGAGCAACCUCUACAAGGUACCAUUGAGUUCCCCAUAAGGUCGUCACACAAUAUUUAUAAACAGACUUUCACAAGUGAAACUGACCAUUGCGAGGGUACCCCUGAGGUCCCUCCAAGGUCUUAACAUAAUAUUUAUAAAAAUAAAUUCACAAAUGAUACUGACUACUGCGAGGCACCCCUAAGGUUCCCACAAGGUCUUCAAACAAAAUUUACAAAUAUAUAUAUACAUACGUGCGCGUGCGUGUGUAUAUAUAUAGAAUAAAUCAGUAGAGAAUUCCUAACCAUAUGUUUGUUAUUGGCAUAUCUCAAGUGCCUUUACUUGGUGGUGUUUACAUCUAAUGAUACAAAUGUUGCCCUUUUAUUCAAACACGAUCUAGACCAAAUUAGCCACUAGUAUAGAAGCUCUUUGUACAGCUCCCUAUAGGACAAUGCUAACUGUUUUCACCAAAUUUUUGCUAAGAUAUGAUUUGAACCAAUUGGGUAAUUCUCACGGGAUUCAACUCAAAUCUAAUUAAAGCAAAUAAAUUUAUAUUUAAAGGGAGCUUCUGCCAAGUUUGGGUUUAGAUGUGUUUUUCUGAUGUUUGCACAACUGGUUUAGCUGAGGUAGCCUAGGUGGUGAGCUAAAGUAAUAUGCAUAGUUACCCGAGGUAGUCAUAUGAGGAAUAAUAGGGGGAACCCAGUGAUAUAAAGGGCUGGUGUGUGCUUAAGAGUAGCUCAAGUGUACUUGAGAGAUAACUCAGGCAGUCUCACAAAAUACUAGUAUAGCUGGGAUACCUCAUGUAAGCUCAUAUAUAAAACACAGUCUCGACUACAAAUUGAAAAUAUAGAGAAACAAAUACAAGUAUAAAGUAAAACACAAUUUUUUUUUCACAUGGUUUGUCUUUUAACCUACGUCUAUAGGAGUAAAGAAUCACCAAUCAACUGUAAACUAGAGGUUACGUAAAAUUUUAUAUUAUACAAGACGAAUAACAUAAUCUAGAUAGUUACAUAGAGAUGCUUGGUCUUGAUAAAGACGAAAAUGGUGAAUAAAGACAUGAAGAGUGAUAAUAUGGUGGAGAAGAUGAUGAAGGUGAAGAAUAGAAAUGGCCUCCCAAAAAUGGAGAAGUGCAUGUGAGAGAG